rnacentral:rRNA from 1 species
UGGGGAAUUUUGGACAAUGGGGGAAACCCUGAUCCAGCCAUCCCGCGUGUGCGAUGAAGGCCUUCGGGUUGUAAAGCACUUUUGGCAGGAAAGAAACGUCAUGGGUUAAUACCCCGUGAAACUGACGGUACCUGCAGAAUAAGCACCGGCUAACUACGUGCCAGCAGCCGCGGUAAUACGUAGGGUGCAAGCGUUAAUCGGAAUUACUGGGCGUAAAGCGUGCGCAGGCGGUUCGGAAAGAAAGAUGUGAAAUCCCAGAGCUCAACUUUGGAACUGCAUUUUUAACUACCGGGCUAGAGUGUGUCAGAGUGAGGUGGAAUUCCGCGUGUGGCAGUGAAAUGCGUAGAUAUGCGGAGGAACACCGAUGGCGAAGGCAGCCUCCUGGGAUAACACUGACGCUCAUGCACGAAAGCGUGGGGAGCAAACAGG